rnacentral:rRNA from 1 species
AGAGUUUGAUCAUGGCUCAGAUUGAACGCUGGCGGCAGGCCUAACACAUGCAAGUCGAGCGGUAGCACAGAGAGCUUGCUCUCGGGUGACGAGCGGCGGACGGGUGAGUAAUGUCUGGGAAACUGCCUGAUGGAGGGGGAUAACUACUGGAAACGGUAGCUAAUACCGCAUAAUGUCGCAAGACCAAAGUGGGGGACCUUCGGGCCUCAUGCCAUCAGAUGUGCCCAGAUGGGAUUAGCUAGUAGGUGGGGUAAUGGCUCACCUAGGCGACGAUCCCUAGCUGGUCUGAGAGGAUGACCAGCCACACUGGAACUGAGACACGGUCCAGACUCCUACGGGAGGCAGCAGUGGGGAAUAUUGCACAAUGGGCGCAAGCCUGAUGCAGCCAUGCCGCGUGUGUGAAGAAGGCCUUCGGGUUGUAAAGCACUUUCAGCGGGGAGGAAGGCGUUAAGGUUAAUAACCUUGGCGAUUGACGUUACCCGCAGAAGAAGCACCGGCUAACUCCGUGCCAGCAGCCGCGGUAAUACGGAGGGUGCAAGCGUUAAUCGGAAUUACUGGGCGUAAAGCGCACGCAGGCGGUCUGUCAAGUCGGAUGUGAAAUCCCCGGGCUNAACCUGGGAACUGCAUUCGAAACUGGCAGGCUAGAGUCUUGUAGAGGGGGGUAGAAUUCCAGGUGUAGCGGUGAAAUGCGUAGAGAUCUGGAGGAAUACCGGUGGCGAAGGCGGCCCCCUGGACAAAGACUGACGCUCAGGUGCGAAAGCGUGGGGAGCAAACAGGAUUAGAUACCCUGGUAGUCCACGCCGUAAACGAUGUCGAUUUGGAGGUUGUGCCCUUGAGGCGUGGCUUCCGGAGCUAACGCGUUAAAUCGACCGCCUGGGGAGUACGGCCGCAAGGUUAAAACUCAAAUGAAUUGACGGGGGCCCGCACAAGCGGUGGAGCAUGUGGUUUAAUUCGAUGCAACGCGAAGAACCUUACCUGGUCUUGACAUCCACAGAACUUUCCAGAGAUGGAUUGGUGCCUUCGGGAACUGUGAGACAGGUGCUGCAUGGCUGUCGUCAGCUCGUGUUGUGAAAUGUUGGGUUAAGUCCCGCAACGAGCGCAACCCUUAUCCUUUGUUGCCAGCGGUUNGGCCGGGAACUCAAAGGAGACUGCCAGUGAUAAACUGGAGGAAGGUGGGGAUGACGUCAAGUCAUCAUGGCCCUUACGACCAGGGCUACACACGUGCUACAAUGGCAUAUACAAAGAGAAGCGACCUCGCGAGAGCAAGCGGACCUCAUAAAGUAUGUCGUAGUCCGGAUUGGAGUCUGCAACUCGACUCCAUGAAGUCGGAAUCGCUAGUAAUCGUAGAUCAGAAUGCUACGGUGAAUACGUUCCCGGGCCUUGUACACACCGCCCGUCACACCAUGGGAGUGGGUUGCAAAAGAAGUAGGUAGCUUAACCUUCGGGAGGGCGCUUACCACUUUGUGAUUCAUGACUGGGGUGAAGUCGUAACAAGGUAACCGUAGGGGAACCUGCGGUUGGAUCACCU